rnacentral:rRNA from 10 species
AUAUACGGCUAUAGAUGGUAGAAAAUUCAGGAUCCCGUCCGCUCUCCUAUAGAUAAGCUACUAAUCGCUUAAUUAAUAGUUAGGUCAGUAACGACCAGCGAAUCCUAGGUGCUGUAUGUU